rnacentral:misc_RNA from 1 species
UCCGGCUUCCCGCCGGCAGUCUCCCGAGAGUCCCCGCCUUUACGCGCUGGCAACACGGGACAAGGGUUGCGCUCGUUGCGGGACUUAACCCAACAUCUCACGACACGAGCUGACGACAGCCAUGCAGCACCUGAACCGGAGGUCCCCGAAGGGAAGACCCCAUCUCUGGGGCUGUCCUCCGUUGUCUAGCCCAGGUAAGGUUCUGCGCGUUGCGUCGAAUUGAACCACAUGCUCCACCGCUUGUGCGGGCCCCCGUCAAUUUCUUUGAGUUUUAAUCUUGCGACCAUACUCCCCAGGCGGCACGUUUAACGCGUUAGCUUCGCCACGAACGGGGUCGAAUCCGCUCACAGCAAACGUGCACCGUUUACAGCUAGGACUAC